rnacentral:rRNA from 1 species
UACGAAGGGUGCAAACGUUGCUCGGAAUCAUUGGGCGUAAAGCGCACGUAGGCGGCUCUAUAAGUCGGAUGUGAAAUCCCUCGGCUUAACCGAAGAAGUGCAUCCGAAACUGUGGAGCUCGAGUAUGGAAGAGGGUCGCAGAAUUCCCGGUGUAGAGGUGAAAUUCGUAGAUAUCGGGAGGAAUACCAGUGGCGAAGGCGGCGACCUGGGCCAAUACUGACGCUGAGGUGCGAAAGCGUGGGGAGCAAACAGG